rnacentral:rRNA from 1 species
CCAAUAGCGUAUAUUAAAGUUGUUGCAGUUAAAAAGCUCGUAGUUGAAUUUCGGGAUCAAUUUGUUGGUCGUGCCUCGGUACGUACUGGCAUUAUUGGUUUCUACCUUCUGAAGAACCUUGAUGUCAUUAAUUUGGUGUCUUGGGGAAUCAGGACUGUUACUUUGAAAAAAUUAGAGUGUUUAAAGCAGGCAUACGCUUGAAUACAUUAGCAUGGAAUAA